GAUGAAGAACGCAGCGAAAUGCGAUAAGUAGUGUGAAUUGCAGAAUUCAGUGAAUCAUCGAAUCUUUGAACGCACAUUGCGCCCUUUGGUAUUCCAAAGGGCAUGCCUGUUCGAGCGUCAUUUGUACCCUCAAGCUUUGCUUGGUGUUGGGCGUCUUGUCUCUAGCUUUGCUGGAGACUCGCCUUAAAGUAAUUGGCAGCCGGCCUACUGGUUUCGGAGCGCAGCACAAGUCGCACUCUCUAUCAGCAAAGGUCUAGCAUCCACUAAGCCUUUUUUUCAACUUUUGACCUCGGAUCAGGUAGGGAUACCCGCUGAACUUAAGCAUAUAAUAAGCGGAGGA
rnacentral:misc_RNA from 1 species